GACGAACGCUGGCGGCGUGCUUAACACAUGCAAGUCGAACGAAGAGCGACGGAAGCUUGCUUCUAUCACUCUUAGUGGCGAACGGGUGAGUAACGCGUAAUCAACCUGCCCUUCAGAGGGGGACAACAGUUGGAAACGACUGCUAAUACCGCAUACGAUCUAAUCUCGGCAUCGAGGAUGGAUGAAAGGUGGCCUCUACAUGUAAGCUAUCACUGAAGGAGGGGAGUGCGUCUGAUUAGCUAGUUGGAGGGGUAACGGCCCACCAAGGCGAUGAUCAGUAGCCGGUCUGAGAGGAUGAACGGCCACAUUGGGACUGAGACACGGCCCAGACUCCUACGGGAGGCAGCAGUGGGGAAUCUUCCGCAAUGGACGAAAGUCUGACGGAGCAACGCCGCGGGAGUGAUGACGGCCUUCGGGUUGUAAAGCUCUGUUAAUCGGGACGAAAGGCCUUCUUGCGAAUAGUGAGAAGGAUUGACGGUACCGGAAUAGAAAGCCACGGCUAACUACGUG
rnacentral:rRNA from 1 species